rnacentral:snRNA from 1 species
AUUCAUACCUGGCAAUGGAGACACGGUGAUUAAGAGGACCGGGCGCGGUUCAGCCAUUGCACUCCGGCUGUGAUGAUCCCUGCACUGUUGAAAUAUCGAUUGCAACAUUUCUGGUAGCUCUGCCCUGAUCUUGCUGUC